rnacentral:lncRNA from 1 species
GCCGGGUGUCCGAGAUCCCAUCAGUGGUGAGAGGCCACGAGACUCAGCUAUGCAGGGUCAGGGCAGGAAGGAAAGACACAAGCCUCAGUGAUGGCCUACCCAGUGCCAAGCGUGGGCUCAGUGCUUCCAACCUCCUUGAAUCCACACAGUCACCCUGGCAGGGACUAUUCCUGCCCCAUUGUGCCGACGCGGGGCCCAAGUCUCAAAGAGGUGCUGUUUGAACUCCCACAGCUACAAAGCAGCAGAGCCGAGAUCCAAACUCAGUUGUCUAUAUGGAAUUUUAUCUCAACCUUACACCGGCUCCUUCUGAGCCAGGGCAAACAAAAAUUGUACGUCUCUAAAACCUACGUGAGGGGCUCAAAUGCUGUAGGUUGUUUCCAAACCCUGGGGUCCAUUCAAUCCUCUUCCAGGCUUUGGCAGGAGGGCAGGGUUGGUUCGACCUCUUCCUUUUCCUGGGGUUCAAUACACAAGGUAUGUGGA